GGAAAGGAAGGGAAGGAAAAAUGGGGUUUGACUUUAAACUGUGAGGUCCCUUCCAACUCCUAUGAUGGUAUGAUCUAACAGGAUCCAGAAAACCUACCAUGCCUCAAAAUGGCUCCCUUACUCAAGGACCUACCCCGACACUUUUGGACAAUAAUUCCUUUGCUUUAAGAGUGGACUUUUUCAAGUUCUUUCUUGAAAAAUGCAAAUGCUCUUGAAAAGAAGGAUGUUCUGAAAAGAUGGGAAAGGUCCCUUAGGGAGACAUUUCUCCUCUUCCUAGAGGAGUGACAGAGAUGACCAAAGACAAACUUGUAUCUGUUUUACAACUUUGCCAUAGGCUGGCCUUAGUAAGAAAAUAGUUGGGCCAAGUGUACCAACCUCUGCCUUGCUCCAAAACCCAGAAAGAAAGAAGGAGAGGAAAGAAUGCUUGGAGUCAGAAGGAGGAGUGUUGUUCAAGGAAGAACAGGAAAGCCAGGGUCACUGGAUUGAAAAAUACAUGAAAGGGAUUUUUCUGGGUUUUUUUUUUAAUUAGUUUAAUUUUUAUUUUUCUCAUCUGCAGCAUUUGAGAGUUGAAGCAGUUGAUCCUAAAGGUCCACUCCAGGUCUAAAACUUCAUGCCACACUGUACUCAUGUGCAUAUACCAACAAGCCUGAAAGUUUUCUUCUGGUGUGUACCCAAGACCUCCUGGGAGUGAAUGUGCCAUCAGUUUGUGUUCUCAGGGGCAGCCAGACAAUAGUAGUGCCUCCCACCAAACCACAACAGUACAGACGAUUCUCAGCUGGCCAGAUCUAUUGUCUUUUUUUUUUCUAACUUUGGUUUGACUAUAUAAGGACAGGACUCUUGUGUUCUUGCUUCCUAGCAGGUGGACCAGCCAAACCCAUUCCUUUUUCUAGUUUCCCAGAAACCCUUGCUGGCCACCCAUCCUUUGGAAAACUGAAAAGAGAGUGUCAAUACUCUUUUGGAGAAGCCAGGAACUGGGAGCUACCUUCUCCCCUCCCCUUGUGAAAAUCCAAACCAGACAAUUGUGCAGGUUCCAGAAGGCUCCUAAAAAUAGCCCAAGUAGAAGGCCAUUACUGAAAAAGUAAAUAGUUACAUUAAGGGAAGCAAGUACAGGAGGCAAAUUGUGUAAAUCACUUUAAAAGAGAACAAGCCUCUGGUAACAUCUAGUCUUUUAUCACAUAGAUUAAGCCUUCUUUUUGACACUAAAUAAUUGAUUGGGCCUGGCUGAAUGCUUUGCAGCUGCAUUUGGCCAAAGCCCUGGGACUCCUCUCCAGGUCAGGCAGGUGGAAGGUGGAUGGCCUUGAAUGCCAAUGCCUUCACCCAAGCCUGGGUCCCAGCCACUGAGAGAUAGGAAUUAAAAUAUCAGAGCAGCCAAGAUGAAAUCUGGGAGCCCUCUUUUAUGGGGAAUCCAAUUUUCUGGGCAGUAGAAAAUAAUUUUCUGCUUUUUGGAAGGUUUCAUUUUGUUUUUUAUAAAUCAAGAAAAUCCAGGUUGAUUUCUGAGUUGACAAAGCUAGAAGCAUGAAGAUCAUUGUCAAAAGAGUCUUGGGGGUGGGGGAGAGAAAUGGAAAAUUCUUCAUCAUUCUCAUUGCCACCCUCAACAUCAUAGUGGUUCAGUAGAAAGAAUGCUAAGUUUAAAGUGAUGGAUGUGAGUUCAAAUCUCUGCCAGAGGGGCAAAUCACUUAACCCCUAUAAGCCUCAGUGUUUUCAUCUGUAAAAUGAAAGGAUUAGACUAGAAAAUCUCAAAGACUCUUCUAGCACUCAGCUUCAGUGGUCAUUUUCAUAGCUGACAUUUGCACAGAGCUUCUAGAAUUUGUAGUAGGUUUUACAUACAUGAUCUCAUUUGGAUUUGACCUCCAAAGUUCCUUCCAAAGCUAUGGUCCUACUACUUACUGUCUGGGGCAGUAGGUGGUACAGAGGGUACUGGGCUUGAAAUCAGAAAGAUUCGUCUUCGUGAGUUUAAAUCUGAUCUCAGACACUUACUAGCUGUGUGUCCCUGGGCAAGCCACUUUACCCCAUUUGACUCCAUUUCCUCAUCUAUAAAAUGAGCUGGAGAAGGAAAUGGCAGACCAUUCCAGUAUCUUUGCUAAGAAAAUAGUAAAUGGGGUCCAAAGAGUCAGACCCAAGGAAAUGAUUGAAUAACACACUACGUAUAUAUCCUAAGAACUCUUUUCAGGUAGGUGUUGCCCUCAUCUUCAUUUUAAGGUUGAGGAAAUUGAAGGUUAGAGAAAUGGAGUAGGACUACAGUGGCAGAGCUUAAACCCAGAUCUUCUGGUUCAAAGACUAAGACUCUAGUAGUUGCCACUUUUAUUGGAAAGAAAAAAAGGAUGCAAACAUUUAUUAAGUACCUGCUAAGUAUUAGGCAAUGUAGUAAGCACUUGACCAAGAUUAUCUCAUUUGAUUCUUACAACAACCCUGGGAGGGAGGUGCUAUUAUUAUCCCCAUUUUACAGUUGAGGAAACUGAGGCAGACAGCAGUUAAGUAACUUGUUCAAGGUCACAAUGCUAGUAAAUGUCUGAGUCUGGAUUUUACUUCUGUCAGAGCUCAGGAUUUUGGUCCACUGCUCUUUUCUUCAUGUCAUGGUACAUGGUGUCACUUGACUAUUGAUGCCUGUGACAUAUUCUAUGAGUCUGUGGAUAGUCUGUGGAUAGAAUCAGGAAUCAAGCAGGAUGGAAGGGGGCUGGGAAAUCUCAGCUGUCAUGAGAACAACUGCUGAAGGUUAGAGAAGCUUUGUCUCCUUUCCCCUUACUCGAUAAUGGAAGGCUAAGAAGCAGAACCCCAGUAACACUGGCAAGCUGGAAAAUUUAUCUUCCAUCAAUCAGUGCAUAUUUUAACAUCUCCUAUGCCUGAGGUGCUGGAGAUAGAAAAAAGCAUGGAAUGAAUACAUAAUCCCAAUCUGCAAGGGCUUUAAUCUUGAUGCAAAUGAAGAAGCUACCACUUGGUGGAAAAGACAUAGGACCAGGAAUCAAGAAAGCUCUGAGUUCAAAUGUUUCCUGAGGCACUUACUGACUGUGUGACUCUAGGCAAUUCACUUAACCUGUCUGUCUCAGUUUCUUCAUCUAAAAAAUGAGUUUAAUAAUACUUUUCAGGGUUGUUGUGGGAAUAAAAUAGAUAAACUUUGUAUGCUUUGCAAUUUGUUUUAGUUGCAUCUGACUUUUGUGACCGCGUUUGGGGUUUUCUUCUACAUGUGUUUGUAAGCAUGUAUGUAUAUGUAUAUGUAUAUAUAUAUAUAUGUAUAUGUAUAUGUAUAUGUAUAUGUAUAUGUAUGUAUUCUUAUAGGGGCAGCUCAGUGGUGCAGUGAAUAGAAUGCUGACCCUGGAGACAGGAGGACCCAUAUUCAAGUCCAGCCUUAGACAUUUACUAGCUGCAUAAUCCUGGGCAAGUCCCUUAGCCUUGUUUGCCUCGGUUUCCUUAUCUGUAAAAUGAGCUGGGGAAGGAAACAGCCAAUCACUCUAAUACCUUUGCCAAGAAAACCCCAUGAAGAGUGAGGCAUGAUUGCAGCAACAAAACAGUGACAACAAAAGUAUGUAUAGAUAUACACACACAAGCACACAUACAGAGUUAUGCAUAUGUGUGUGAGAUAAAUGGAAGGGAAUCUCAGAGGGAAGUCACUAGCACUUGAUGGGACCAGAAAAGACCUCGGGGAGAAGGUGGAAUUUGAGCACUCUUGAAAGGAUGCCAAGAAAGCUAGGAAUUAGAGGUGAGGAGAGAGAACGUUAGAGGGCUAGAGGAGUGCCAGAGGAAAGGAACAGAGACAGGAGAUGGAGUAUCAGGAACAAGGAACAAUUAGGAGGCUGGUGUGGCUGCAUGGUGGGAUAUGUGGAGGGGAGCAGGGCAUAAAGAAAACUGGAAAGGUGAGACGGGGCCAGGCUGUGAAGAGCUUUGGAUGCCAAAGAGAGAUUUUAUGUUUUAUUUUGGAGGCAAUAAGGAGCCAGUGAAGUUUACUGACUGCAAAGUUGACAUGAUGGAACCUGUGCUUUAGGGGGAAAAUAUCCCUUUGGUAGGUGAGGGGAGGAUGGAAUGGAGAGGGGGAGAGACUUGGGGCCAGGAAACUAACCAGAAGGAUUUCUUGAGAUUCCAUGGGUAUGGGGCGUGGAGAAAAGGACUUGUAUACAAGAGAUGUAGGACAUACCCUGGAUUUUUAUUCUGAAAAAAAUUCAGAUUGUCUUAUAUUCCAGGUUGAUUCGCUCCCAAUCGAGUUACAGUAAUAAAUUCCCCAAACUCCAGAAGUAUGUUCUGGCUUGAAUUCCUUGAUUUGUUUUCAGAAAUGGUUUUUUGAAUGUAAGUCUCUGCUUUCCUCCUUGAGGCUGGAAAGCCUUUUCAGACAGUUCCAAGCCUGCUAAUGCUUCCAAAAUACCUGAAAUGUGUUAGGCAGAAACACACGUUGUAGCCUAAAGUGCUACCAGCUCAAUUCAGUUCAACAAUAAUAGACUUUCUUCCCCAGACAAAAUUUCUUGAGUAUCUUUAGUAUCAGUACAGGGCAGUGUACUUUGUCUUUGUGCUGAGGGACUUGUUCCUUUAUUUUUAGAUUUUGUGAUGAACAAAAUUAAACACUCUGGAGAGGGUUGUUUGCAGUGGGAUUCUGGGAGUGGUGAUAGAGUUGGAGUUGUAGUGAGAUUCUGGAGGGGGAUUGCAGUGGGAUUCUGGAGGAACACUGCAGUGGGAUUUUGGAAGAAGAUUAGAGUCUGAACCCUAGAGGGAGUUUAUAAUAUGAGUCUAGAGAGGAAUUAUGGGAGGGAUUUAAGUGUAAUUCUUAUGGAGAGUUGAAUUGGGAAUCUGGCAGGUGACUCUUUGAAUUCUGAAUUGAAACAUCCAUCCAGGAUCCAGGAUAUUUUGAAAUAUUUUGGAAUAUUUUGAAUUUUAGAAGACUAGCUCAAGUAUUGGCUAUUUGGAGGGCAUGAUUGGAAAUUAGUAAAAUGUGGUUCUUUUCUAGGUCACUGCUACUUGCCUAAGGAGAUAGAUAGCUUCUGUGGGCCUCCAUUUCUCUUUCUGUCAAAUGGCCUAAGAGCUUGUCCCAGUUUUAGUAAAAUGAAAACAGAAACUGCUUAUCUUUGUGACUUAAGAAGAUUGAAAAAUUAUGUUAUUAAAUGAGGUUGAUUUUGAGCCAUUCAACAUGCCACUGUGUCAUGGCCAAUGUCUUUCAGUGGGUAACUAAGGCUCCAUUUGGUCUCAGUGGCCCUUGGCUAAGAAUUCCAGAGGAUGAUUGUGAUGAAACAAAGUUUAUGGUAGUUCUUUUCAGCCACGCUUUCCCACUCCAAUCCCAAGGACCUGUUUUUCUCCCAUCUUAUUCAAUUCAACAUUUAUGAAGUGCCUAUGUUUUCCAAUACCAUGUAAAAGAGGACUCGAGGCCUGUCUUGACCCAGCUGGAUAUGGUCUCAUAGACCUUCUAGAGGUCUUCCUUGGUUUGAAUUCGUAACCCUUAACAGACGGACUGCGGCGGGUCUUUAACCUGGGCUGCAAAUCACCAGCGAUGAGAUGUACAAGCCUGACUGAGGCACUGUAGUGCAUCUGAUGGAGGAAAUGCCUGUGUGGGUUCCCCCCACCCACCUCCCCUUUUGUUUCAGCUCAAGCCCCUCACACUGUCUAGAGCCUACAUAAAACGAUCAAGAAAUAUUUGUUAGACAUACCUGCCAUGCAAAGCACUGUGUGGGAUGUAAGAGAAACUACAGGAAGUCUCUUCCCUUAAAUACUUGUGGUCUGGCUUUAGGGAGAAGAUGAAUACUCAGGAAAAAAUAACUAGCAGUAUGAGGCCAUUAGGUGCCAAGCAUCAAAUGGUUGGUUAUUAGGAUCUCCCCUGGAAGGGAUCAUAGAGAUAAGUCAUUAAGCCCAACUCCAUGCUAGGGAUGAAGUGACUGAGGUACAGGGGCUAAGAGACUUGCCCAAGGUAUAGUUAUCCAUGCUAUGGGAAUUCAGAAGAGACAAAAAUCACUCAACGAGGGGAGUAAGGAAAGUUUUCAUGAAGAAAAUGGAACAUAAAUGGGUUUUAAAGGGUAAGAGAGAAGGAUAUUUUGCACAUAGUUGGUUUUAUUGAGUGAAUGGAUGCUGAGAUCCAGAUGGAUGGAACACAUCUUGGGCAAAGACCAGAAGUAAGAAUGAUUGAGCUAUGUCCACAAUGGUCUGGUUGGAGUUUGUAUUAGAUAGUAAUGGGGGCUAGGUGAUUCAGUGGAUUGAGAGCCAGGCCUAGAGACUCAGAGCCAGGCCUAGAGACUCCUAAAUUCAAAUCUGGCUUCAGACACUUCCUACCUCUGUGACCCCGGGAAAGUCACUUAAUUACCUUUGCCUAGCCCUUGCUGCCUUGGAAUCAAUACUCAAUAUUGAUUAAAAAACAGAAAGUAAGGGUUGAUGAAAAAAAAAAGAUAGUUAACAAGAGAUAUCCAUUUUGUAUGGUUCACAAAACUAACUCCAGGUCUGUGUGGAAGUAGUACCAGUUAUCAGUCUAUGACAGUGAUGGCGAACCUUUUAGAGACCCAAACUGUACCCUCACACCACAGGGGAGCCAUCCCUUUAGCUCAGACAGGGGAGGGAGGAAGAACUCCCAUUGGGCUGCAGCACAGAGCAUGUGAAGAUGUCCUCAGGGGCAGUGGAGAGGGGAAAGGGAGCAGCCUUCUCUAGCACACGUGCCAUAGGUUCGCCAACGUGAUCUAUGAGAAUAAGAUAACCAUUAUCGCCCUUAGGGUUGUGUAUAUGCUUUACUGAGCAAGUAGUCUCCUGACAAACCAAUGCUGCUGCUUCUGGAUGUAAGGAACUAGCAAAACUAGUCUCUAAGCAGGAGUCAAUCAAUCAACAUUUAUUAAAUGUCUGCUCUAUGCCAAGCACCGUUCUAAGCUUUAGGAAACCAAAUAUAAAAAGGAAAUACAGUCCCUGCCCUUAAGGAGUUUAUGGAUGGGGGAAGACAAAACACAAAAAGAAGUUGAAAAGCUGAGAAUGGUCAGGAGGAAAGUUACCCUGCACAAGGAAUGGUAGAAAAAUUCAAAGAAGUGUAACCUGAUGGGAAAUACAGAUGGCUGGUGUGGCUUACCUUCUCAGAUGGAGAUUUUGGUAGAAGCUCUUCUCUCUGCCCUCCAAUCAGAGGGAAGAGGGUACUGAUGAGGUGUGAGUACCAAGGUUGAUUUGGUGUUGGAGAAUGAUGAAGUGACUGAUGAGGAGGUGGGGUAGGGGAAGGUGAGGGACAAUAAUGGAGAACUCCAAAGGAGUGUAACCAAGUGGGAAAUGUAAGUACACUCUGUCCUUUGGAGAAAGUGACUCCAGGGAGUCCUAUGCUUGUUUGCAUUUGCUAAAGAACCCCAACUUUUAGAAUAGGAUAUUGGGAACACUAAAAUGGAUUCUCAGAAUGGCAGGCCACAGGUUGGCAUCUUGAUAGGUCAGAUCACCUUCUUGUCUCUUUUAUUUGUGUAUCCCACCAGGAAAACUACCAAAGAGGUAGAUUAAUCCAUCUGGCACUAGGCACAAUCCCUUCUUUUGGAUUAUAGGAUUUAGAGCUGAAAGGAACCUUAAGACACAGCUAUUCCAAUGUACUAUUUUGCAGGUGAGGUAGUUGAGUUCCAGAGAGUCUUAAGUGAUUUACUCCAGGUCACAGAAGUAGUAAGUUGCAGAGCUGGGGCCUGAACCCAGUCCUGACUCAAAAUUCUCUAUUGAUCUCAUUAUUCGGGAGAAAAAAUUUACUAUUUUGUGAAAAAUGAAAAUUUCAUUUAGUGAUUACCAACUUUUCUCAAAUUCAUUUCCCUUUUCUUAUAAUCAUUUUUACAUAAAUUCCAAUCUUUUCUUUUAUUAUUUCCUGACUCCCCUUUUUCGUUUAGAAUUUUGAAAUUUCUUCUGUUCUUUAAAAGUACCAUUGAGCUUAUUUUUAUAUUUCAUAUUCAAUUUACAUAUUAAAAUAUAUCAAGAUUUUAGAAAGACUUGGAAUAAAUUAAUGGCCUGUUUUCUGUUUACAAAGUACCAUAAUUUUGAAAAAUAAGCUUGAUACCAUGUUUUUAAAAAUCAUGAGCUAUGAGACAAAACUGUAAAAAUCAGUGGUGUCUGGAUGCCCCAGAGGGACUUAAUCAGCCUGUGCUAUGAGGCCAGCUCUGUGUAAGUUCCCUGCCUGGCUUUCCUCUUCUCUAAAAUACAGGUAUUCAUAUGGCAGUUAAGCCAAACACACACAAGGCAGAGUUGCACUUGGAUAAAGUGAUUUCUCUCUUACUUACUGCUGCUGAGCGUGGGAGAAAGCAAGCAGCUAUUGAAUUGAAGCCCAAUGAUCGUGGGCCUGGGAAGCAAAGAAAGAUGUUCUGCAAAUUCCCCCAGAACACAUGUGUGGCAGGAGAGAAGUCAGCCCGCCAGCCAUAAAUUAUGAGCAGCCAUUUGGAUUUAAACAACCUCCUAGUCUCGAGCCUGUCAUUUGGUGUUGCCAUUUGGGUGAAGACUUCUUUCUUAAAGAAGAAAAUAUGGUUUGCCUCUUCAGCUUGCCCCUCUGAACUAAUGUGAGCAACGGUUAUGAUGAAUGGUCUGGGCUGACCUUUCCGACUAGCAAGGACUAGUCUGUCUCUCUCUGCUCCGGGCCAAAUGUCUCAGACACUUAGUGGAGACAAAGCCUGGAGUAAGGCCAGGCCAGAAAAGGUUUGUCUUGUUAGAUGUAAAAAUUGGUUAAAUGCUUACAGAUUUGUGCGAUGGGCUCUGGGAAAGUUUAUGGGUCUCCCUUAUUCCUAAAAGAGGCUAGGUAUCAACUCUUGAUGGGAAUCUGGCACUUUUUAUUCUGUUCUUUCUGGUUCAUUGUUGCACAAGUAUUACCUUUUUAUCUAUAGUAUACUAAAAAGGUAGCUGAGAGCCUCCAGUGCUUUGGGUAGCUCCCCCUUGGGGAGAUUUUUGGCAGCCCUCAACCAGAAUGAAAAGACUUGCUAUCCACCACAACCCAGAGAAUGUAAAAUCACACUGAUGAAAUCAUGGCCCCACCAAAGUAUCUCAGGGAAUUGUUUGUCUUGGUCUUAUCUUCCCAACUAGAUUUAAGUUCCAAAAGACCAGGUCUGAUAUAGAGAUGGUUAAUCUUAAUGGAUUAAUUCAUUUCUUUUUCUUUCUUUUUUGGUGAAUGAACCCUUACCUUCCAUCUUAGAAUUAAUACUGUGUAUUGGUUGCAAGGCAGAAGAGCAGUAAGAGCUAGGCAAGAGAGGUUAAGUGACUUGCCCAGGGUCACACAGCUAAGAAGUGUCUGAGACCAGAUUUGAACCCAGGACCUUCCAUCUCUAGGCCUGAUUCUUAAUCUUCAGAAAAUCCAGGAAAGGAGUCAGCAUUUUUUUGCUCACUCACAGGAUAAUUCAAAAGGAAAAAUCCAAGAGAAAUAUGAGAUCCCAAGCUGGAGCUCCUUCAAGAUCAAGAAAAAGGCAAAAGACCUCUUCUUAGGAGCCAUCUAGCUGUCCCCAAUUAAUUAAUUUCUUAAAUAAUCCACCUCUUCCAAAAGGAAGACAGGGAGAAGUGAUAAAACUCGAAUUAGGCAGUUUCAUAGAAUCACAGACUUUUGGAGAUGGAGGAAAAUUUAGAGAUUAUUACAUACAACCCUUCCAUUUCACAGAUGCAAAAAAGUGAUCUCUGAAAGAGAGAUAAAAUUGCUUGCUAGUCAGAGGAAGAGCUUGAACAAAAAUCUAGGUAUCCUGAUCCUCAGUGCUUCCUCUCAAACUUCUGCCCUCUCCCCUUUGCCAAUUAGGUCAUUUGGCAAUAUUUCUAAUCAGAAUGUGAGUGGAAAGAGUUAAAACUAUGAAUUCAGAGGAGGCAUGGUGUUUAUUUCUGAAUUUCAUUAAUACAGGUUCCCUAUGGCUUCCUUUUUGAGAAAUAUCAGUGAACAGAGAUGUCCUCGGGCAUAGACAGAGUAGCUAGUAGCAGGUCUCUCCUAUUCUUAGAAUAUCUUCACUACCAUUCUAUCUUUGUACCCAUUAUUCUACUACUAGAGAUCCACCCUUGCUUGGUCUUGAAGUCUAAAUGGUCUUCUAUCAACAUGCAGGUAUCCUAGAGAAGAGUAUCUCCCUACCAUCUAAUAGUGAAAUGGGGAUGGAAUGGACAGGAAAAGAGAUAGGAUCAGAGCUGGGCUUCCCAGGACAGAGGAGGAGAAAGGGGAGAUGGUGCUAAUGACAAACUUGGGCUGUUUCAUACUUUUUCCCAAGGCCAGUCUGACCAGUGUUUAUUGAUAAGAAUAGAAAUUACCAUAAUUUUAUAGCCUGUUAGCCAUACAUGACUUCAUUUUAUCCUCAGGACCACUCUGUGAGUAGCAAUAAUAGCCAACAUUUAUCUUGUGCUUACUAUGUGCCAGGCACUGUGGGAAGAACUUUGAGGUUCUAAUCUCAUUGGAUCCUCCUUACAACUUUGGGAAGUAGGUGCCAUGAUUAUCUCUUUUUUUACAGAGUGGGUUAUAAAAAUAAUAUAAUCAGAGGUGUCCUGGUAAAUGUUUAAUAACCAGUUUGGGAUGAGGGAUAGAAUGUAUCUACAGCAAUACACUUUUACAUUUAAUCUGCAUCAUGAAAAUUUUCUCCAAACCUGAGUCUAGAAAAGCUAUUAAACAACAAAUCAAGCUCUGAUCUGUAGUUUUUGCUGAUUUUCAAAGUAUGUUUACAUGCUCACACUGAAAUUUAACCAUCGCCUCUUGUGAGCCAAUUCAAGAUGGCUCCAGUAUACCAUUGGGCAUGAAAGUGAUAUAGCUUCUGUUUGCAGAUAAAGACACAAAGGGUAAAAGAAGUAACCCAGAUUUUUCAGGCUCACAUAGCUGGUGCAGGUGGUAAAGUCAGGUCUUUUGAUUCCAAAUGCAGCAUUCUUUUUAUCACAUUCAAGGACUGUAUGGUAUACUCUCAUUGCCUUCUUCAUCAUCUUUCUUCCAAAGUGAUUUUGCAUAGACAUAGUAUGAACUUAAUAAAAUUUUCUGAAUGCCAUUGGUGAAUUAUUUCUAAAUAAGAGAAUUUUCCAAAUAAUUGAAGCUUACUUUUUAAAUACAAAAUUAAAAAAAAAGAAGUCAACAUUUUAUCAUAAACUUCGUGGUCUUCUUCAACAUAUAAUACAGAAUAUAAUGAAAUUUUUUGUGACUCAGGCUUGUCAUUAUGAAUGUCAGUGAUUGUGCUGUAAUACAAUCAUACCUUUUAGAACUGCAGUUUCUGCAGAACUGUUUGCCCUAACACUGAAUGGCCCCACACCAUUAUGUUCUUCUACUAUUUGUAAUUAUUCUGUCUUUUCCAUUGCUUUCAAGCUGUGAUUUUACUUCUCGCCAUCAUUAUUGUGCUUGUCUGUAAUAGUUUCCCUCUUCCUAAUCUGUGAUUUCUAAUAUGGUUACAUAUGAAAGACCAGAUUAAAAAACUUGUUAGAAUAUAAAAUAAGAGUAAAUAGCUUUGAAAUCAAGGGCUAAGAAUCCUGUGAAUAAAGGUCAUGAACUUGAUCAAGUGAAAAAAAAAAUUAACCCUUACCUUCCAUCUUAGAAUCAAUAUUGUGUAUUGGUUCCAAGGCAGAAGAGCAGUAAGGGCUAAGCAACUGGGGUCAAAUGGCCUGUCCAGAAUCACAUAACUAGGAAGUGUCUGAAGUCACAUUUGAACUCAGGAUCUCCUAUCUCUUAGUCUGGCUCUCAAACCAUGAGUCACCUACCUGACCCCAUCAAAUAAACUUUUUGACAGAUAUUUUGUAUUAUUAUGAAAGUUUUUUAUUACUAAUAGAUUUUAGAUAUUGAAAUGACUUUGUAACUUCUUAGUAAAUUCAGUAUCAUUAUUAGUGUUCCUUAGUUGGGCAGAAAUGCCAAUCAACAUAGAAUUCCAAUGGAUGGGAUAUAGAAUAACUGUGAUUCAUUUCUGUGUUCUUUCUUUUCUUUUUUUUUUUUGCUGAGGGGAAAAAGAUGGAGAUGUGUCAGGGGUAAAAGAUUGCAUAUUUAUUCACAUAUAUUUAGUAAAUAACCUUUUAUUUGUGCCUAUUCACUGUAAGAAAGAAAAAAAUAUGACUUGAUUCUUCCAUUUAAAAAGGGAUGUGUGUGUGUGUGUGUGUGUGUGUGUGUGUGUGUGUGUGUGUGGAGAGAGAGAGAGAGAGAGAGAGAGAGAGAGAGAGAGAGAGAGAGAGAGAGAGAGA